GGAGAGGUGGCCGAGUGGCUGAAGGCGGCGGAUUGCUAAUCCGUUUCAGGGUAAUAGCCCUGACCAGGGUUCGAAUCCCUGCCUCUCCGCCA
rnacentral:tRNA from 1 species